CUUUUUAGAGGAAGUAAAAGUCGUAACAAGGUUUCCGUAGGUGAACCUGCGGAAGGAUCAUUAAUGAAAUGCAAGGACGCUCUUUUUAGAGGUCCGACCCAAUUCAUUUUCUCACACUGUGCACACUACUACUUUUUACACCAUUUUUAACACAAAAGUCAAAGAAUGUAAACAGUCUCUUAAUCGAGCAUAAAAUUUAAACAAAACUUUCAGCAACGGAUCUCUUGGCUCUCC
rnacentral:misc_RNA from 1 species